rnacentral:rRNA from 1 species
CCUACGGGGGGCUGCAGUGGGGAAUAUUGGACAAUGGGGGGAACCCUGAUCCAGCCAUGCCGCGUGUGUGAAGAAGGCCCUCGGGUUGUAAAGCACUUUCAGUGAGGAAGAACGCCUGGUGGUUAAUACCCAUCAGGAAAGACAUCACUCACAGAAGAAGCACCGGCUAACUCCGUGCCAGCAGCCGCGGUAAUACGGAGGGUGCGAGCGUUAAUCGGAAUUACUGGGCGUAAAGCGCGCGUAGGUGGCUUGAUAAGCCGGUUGUGAAAGCCCCGGGCUCAACCGGGGAACGGCAUCCGGAACUGUCAAGCUAGAGUGCAGGAGAGGAAGGUAGAAUUCCCGGUGUAGCGGUGAAAUGCGUAGAGAUCGGGAGGAAUACCAGUGGCGAAGGCGGCCUUCUGGACUGACACUGACACUGAGGUGCGAAAGCGUGGGUAGCAAACAGGAUUAGAUACCCGUGUAGUC